CUGGGUGUUGGUAAUGAUUUCUUCAGGCAAAAGUAAGCUUAAAGUUUAUUAAAGUUUUUUAAGCUUAUUUUUGCCUGAAGAAAUCAUUACCAAC